rnacentral:misc_RNA from 1 species
AGUACAAAAUGCAGAGCAUAUCGUCGCUUCUGUUCACGAAACGCAUCAAGGUGCGAGAGAAAAAUAUGAAAUCUAUGGGUUGUUGGGUGCCUUCCGGAACUUUUGUCUUCGAGUAUCUUCGUGUUAAUGAAAAACUCUACAGAUAUAAUUUUUUAUGGCCGGAUCAGAGCACAACGUUGAAGUUUUUCGGUCGGUCAUUGUUUUUGCUGAGCCUACUCACUUAUCAGAUACCACAGUUUAUGCAUUCAGCUAUUAAUUAUCAGCAACAGAAAAUAACCAUUCAUUCGGCGAUAGAAAAUUUAUUAGGCACCUUUUUAACCUUUAACUUAUUUAUAAGAUAUGUUUUACACAUGCAGCAUCAAGAGACGUUCAAAUAUAUUCACGUUGUUCUCACCAAACAUUUGAGCGACUGCGACAAUUACCAAGAAAAACUUGUAAUGGAAAGAAUAUUCUCGUCGAAGACCAGGCACCUACAGAAAAUCAUGAUUUUCUUCUGGACACUUCUCUCGAUGUUUAUCUUAGUGUCAGCGCCUAUUCCUGCUUUGAUAAACGCCAUCACCAAGAAAGAGACUCUGACGAAACAGCUGUGCUUCCCCGCCGAGUACUUCGUCGACUUUGACUCAUACUUCUGGCUGCUGUAUAUCCACCAACUGAUCUGCAUAUUCUUCCAAUGUCUGACGGCCAAUGCCUUCGACAUAACUUACGCGAAUAACGCGCACUACAUAGCAGCCAUGUUCGGCGUGAUCAGCUAUCGAUUGAAUCGAUUGAAUAGAUUCACGAGGAAUCCUCAGCUGACGAGUCGACAGAGAGACGAGUACAUCGGCCGAGAGCUACUGGAAAUCAUUGACAAACAUAAUCGAGUGAUCGACGUGACCGCCAAAAUUAACCGCGCCUACGCACCUAUGAAGAUGUUCUCGCUGAUGGCCAUGCUGAUGCUCAUCGGCGAGGUGGGUUUCAUGCUGGCCAUUGACUUUGGUAACGUCAUGACCCACAUGCGCUUCUUCAUUGCCCUGGCUGGACUCUUGCUUUAUCUGCGCUUCAUUUGCUGGCCCGGCCAAACCCUCAUCGACGCCAGUUUGUCCGUUUUUUAUUCCAGCUACAUGAACGACUGGUACCUGUUCACGCCGAAGCUGCGCUACCUGGUGCGAGGCAUAAUGUGGCGAGCCUCGAAGCCAUGCGUCAUCACCGCGGGUCCCUUCGCCGUCAUCAGUUCCGAGACCUUCUAUUGGGUCAUUAAAUCCUCGUACUCGUACAUGUCUUUUCUCAUGAAAAUGGACGGAGAGAGCUUCUAAUAAUGAUAUUUUACACGUGGGCUUCCGCCGUUGGAUCCACUGCUCAUCGUACGAUCCAGCCCACGUGACAGCCAUAAAGAGAUGAUUUGGAAAUUUACCGCUUCGCGCCGACGCACUGGGGGCUUGGCAGCCCGCGAUGCAUACGUGUUUAGCGGCACACAUGCACAAUCACUACACAGACGCAGGC